UACGUAAGGUGCAAGCGUUGUCCGGAAUUAUUGGGCGUAAAGAGCUCGUAGGCGGUCUGUCGCGUCGGCUGUGAAAACCCGGAGCUCAACUCCGGGCCUGCAGUCGAUACGGGCAGACUGGAGUUCGGCAGGGGAGACUGGAAUUCCUGGUGUAGCGGUGAAAUGCGCAGAUAUCAGGAGGAACACCGGUGGCGAAGGCGGGUCUCUGGGCCGAUACUGACGCUGAGGAGCGAAAGCGUGGGGAGCGAACAGG
rnacentral:rRNA from 1 species